rnacentral:rRNA from 1 species
GACGAACGCUGGCGGCGUGCUUAACACAUGCAAGUCGAACGGUGAAGCGCCUUCCUUUUUGGUGGGUGUGGAUGAGUGGCGAACGGGUGAGUAACACGUGAGUAACCUGCCCCCUUCUUCUGGAUAACCGCAUGAAAGUGUGGCUAAUACGGGAUAUUCUGGUUCUGUCGCAUGAUGGGUCUGGGAAAGAUAUUGUUUCGGUGGGGGAUGGGCUCGCGGCCUAUCAGCUUGUUGGUGGGGUGAUGGCCUACCAAGGCGGUGACGGGUAGCCGGCCUGAGAGGGUGGACGGUCACACUGGGACUGAGACACCGCCCAGACUCCGACGGGAGGCAGAAGUGGGGAAUAUUGCACAAUGGGCGCAAGACUGAUGCAGCGACGCCGCGUGAGGGAUGGAGGCCUUCGGGUUGUGAACCUCUUUCGCCAGUGAAGCAGGCCUGCCUCGUUUGUGGGUGGGUUGAUGGUAGCUGGAUAAGAAGCGCCGGCUAACUACGUG